rnacentral:rRNA from 1 species
UACGGGCGCACGCCUCGAUGUUGUGUCGUUACACGGUUUCGGCCGUUCGACGCGCACGGGCGACGUUCGUCGACGUCCGCCGACGGCGUGCACUUCUCUCUUAGUAAUGCAUCGCGACCCGUUCGCGGUCGGUCUAAGCGCCGUCCGGGAGUCCGACGGUGGACGUUUCGGCGUCCGCCUUCGUACCGUGACCGGUUGCCGGCCGGCCGUCGUUUUUUUUUAAACUAACGGACGGUAAAAAUGAUGGAAAUCGAAUACGCUUUAAAAAGCGAAUCGCGCACGCGUAUCACAACGCGUCCGGCCCGACGCAAGCCUACGUUCGUAGUCGAUUUCCUGCCACAGUGCGGACGUCGGCUCGACGUUGCUGUCGUCUAUAGCCGCCGUGCAGUCUCGGACUGUGCGCGUCUCCGUCUGCGAUGAUUCCGUUUCGGGCACUCGCAGGACCCGUCUUGAAACACGGACCAAGGAGUCUAGCAUGUGUGCGAGUCAUUGAGUUAGAGAUUCAAUUGACAAAACUGAAAGGCGCAACGAAAGUGAAGGCGCGCGCUUCCCGCGCGCGCUCAGGGAGGAUGGAGCCUCGGUCUAGAUCGAACUCUCGCACUCCCGAGGCGUCUCGUUUCCAAUCUGUGAAUGCGGGCGCGCUCCGAGCACAGAUGCUGGGACCCGAAAGAUGGUGAACUAUGCCUGGUCAGGUCGAAGUCAGGGGAAACCCUGAUGGAGGACCGUAGCGAUUCUGACGU